rnacentral:tRNA from 1 species
GGCCCGUUCGUCUAUCGGACCGAGGAUAUCGCCCUUUCAAGGCGGAGAGGAGGGUUCGAUUCCCUCACGGGCUA